AAUUAACGAGCUGGGAGGGACUGCCUCCAGCUGUGGAGCAAAAUCUUUCAGACCACAAAGAGAAUGCUGCUGGGGUUUACACCAGUCCCUUUGAAUCAGAAGUACUUUUCAUUUGAUUGCCCCUGGAAGUGGACUCCCAUCUUUGUAACAGAAACCACCAGUUUGGUUUAUGUGUAUGCUGUGCUGUCCUUCCUCUUGGUCUUUCCCUGUCCUUAUUUAGUGAAGUACGGGGGUGAAAGAUACGGCUGAAUGGAAUUGUUUUGUAGAAGCAGGAAGUGAAGUUGAACGCGGUUCAUGAGGGUGGUUGGCUGGAGCUAAGGUUUGAUUUGGAAAGCUACUGCCUUCGUGUUUGAAAACACCAUCAGAGCUACAAGAGUGCAACAGGCUUUACUGCUUUUUGGGAGACUACCAAGAGAAGCCACAUUUUUAUUAGCAAGACUGUGCUAAAAUCCUGAGCUUUUGCUUCACGGCAUGAUAGAAGUAUAAUUAUCCUACGCU
rnacentral:lncRNA from 1 species